rnacentral:rRNA from 1 species
CAGAGGGGGCAAGCGUUAUUCGGAAUUAUUGGCGUAAAGGGCGCGUAGGCGGCCUGACAAGCGACGGGUGAAAUCCCUCGGCUUAACCGAGGAACUGCCUGUCGAACUGUUUGGCUUGAGACCGGGAGAGGUGAGUGGAAUUCCCAGUGUAGCGGUGAAAUGCGUAGAUAUUGGGAGGAACACCAGUGGUGAAGGCGGCUCACUGGACCGGUACUGACGCUGAGGCGCGAAAGCGUGGGUAGCAAACAGGAUUAGAUACCCUGGUAGUCCACGCCGUAAACGAUGAGUGCUUGGUGUAGCGGGUAUCGACCCCUGCUGUGCCGUAGUCAACGCAUUAAGCACUCCGCCUGGGGAGUACGGUCGCAAGGCUG